rnacentral:rRNA from 1 species
GAUGAACGCUGGCGGCGUGCCUAAUACAUGCAAGUCGAGCGAACAGACGAGGAGCUUGCUCCUCUGACGUUAGCGGCGGACGGGUGAGUAACACGUGGAUAACCUACCUAUAAGACUGGGAUAACUUCGGGAAACCGGAGCUAAUACCGGAUAAUAUAUUGAACCGCAUGGUUCAAUAGUGAAAGACGGUUUUGCUGUCACUUAUAGAUGGAUCCGCGCCGCAUUAGCUAGUUGGUAAGGUAACGUCUUACCAAGGCAACGAUGCGUAGCCGACCUGAGAGGGUGGUCGGCCACACUGGAACUGAGACACGGUCCAGACUCCUACGGGAGGCAGCAGUAGGGAAUCUUCCGCAAUGGGCGAAAGCCUGACGGAGCAACGCCGCGUGAGUGAUGAAGGUCUUCGGAUCGUAAAACUCUGUUAUUAGGGAAGAACAAAUGUGUAAGUAACUAUGCACGUCUUGACGGUACCUAAUCAGAAAGCCACGGCUAACUACGUG